rnacentral:rRNA from 1 species
UCUGGGAUUAGAUACCCUGUUAUAAAAAAGUAAAUAUAAAUUUAAUAAAAUAGUAUUAGUUAUAUUCUUGAAAUUUAAAAAAUUUGGCGGUAUUUUAUUCUAAUUAGAGGAACUUGUUUUUUAAUUGAUAUUCCUCAUUUUAUCUUACUUAAUUUAUUAAUUUAUAUAUCGUCGUCAUCAGAAAGUUUUUAAAAAAAAAUAAUUUUCUAAUUUAGUUAAUUUUAAGUAUGUCAGAUCAAGGUGUAGUUUAUAAUUAAGUUAAAAUGAGUUACAAUAAAAUUAUUUAAAUGAAUUUAAAAAUGAAAAAUUUAAGGAAAGUGGAUUUAUUAGUAAAAUUAUUUAGAAAAAUAAUUUGAUUUUAGUUUUAAAAUAUGUACAAAUCGCCCGUCACUCUCUGA